rnacentral:rRNA from 1 species
GCACAAGCGGUGGAGCAUGUGGUUAAUUCGAAGCAACGCGAAGAACCUUACCAGGUCUUGACAUCCCCUGACAACCCGAGAGAUCGGGCGUUCCCCUUCGGGGGACAGGGUGACAGGUGGUGCAUGGUUGUCGUCAGCUCGUGUCGUGAGAUGUUGGGUUAAGUCCCGCAACGAGCGCAACCCUCGGCCUUAGUUGCCAGCAUUCAGUUGGGCACUCUAAGGUGACUGCCGGCUAAAAGUCGGAGGAAGGUGGGGAUGACGUCAAAUCAUCAUGCCCCUUAUGACCUGGGCUACACACGUGCUACAAUGGGCGGUACAAAGGGUCGCGAACCCGCGAGGGGGAGCCAAUCCCAAAAAGCCGCUCUCAGUUCGGAUUGCAGGCUGCAACUCGCCUGCAUGAAGCCGGAAUCGCUAGUAAUCGCGGAUCAGCAUGCCGCGGUGAAUACGUUCCCGGGCCUU